rnacentral:rRNA from 1 species
ACAAAGGGGAUCCUUAGUAACGGCGAGUGAAGCGGUAAAAGCUCAAAUUUGAAAUCUGGUACUUUCAGUGCCCGAGUUGUAAUUUGUAGAAUUUGUCUUUGAUUAGGUCCUUGUCUAUGUUCCUUGGAACAGGACGUCAUAGAGGGUGAGAAUCCCGUUUGGCGAGGAUACCUUUUCUCUGUAAGACUUUUUCGAAGAGUCGAGUUGUUUGGGAAUGCAGCUCAAAGUGGGUGGUAAAUUCCAUCUAAAGCUAAAUAUUGGCGAGAGACCGAUAGCGAACAAGUACAGUGAUGGAAAGAUGAAAAGAACUUUGAAAAGAGAGUGAAAAAGUACGUGAAAUUGUUGAAAGGGAAGGGCAUUUGAUCAGACAUGGUGUUUUUUUAAUGUGCAAGUCUCUCGUGGACAUGUGCCUCUGGAAAUUAACACUGGGCCAACAUCAGUUCUGGCGGCAGGAUAAAUCAUUAAGAAUGUAGCUACCUCGGUAGUGUUAUAGCUUUUUGGAAUACUGCCAGCUGGGAUUGAGGACUGCGCUUCGGCAAGGAUGUUGGCAUAAUGGUUAAAUGCCGCCCGUCUUGACCAACGGAACCAAA